AGCCGGGGCGGCUAUACUGCAGUCGACGAACUCUGGUAUUGAUUGGUGCUUGCAUCAUGAUUUACAUUUGAGUGAGUGGCGAACUGGUGAGUAACACGUGGGAAACCUGCCCAGAAGCGGGGGAUAACACCUGGAAACAGAUGCUAAUACCGCAUAACAACUUGGACCGCAUGGUCCGAGCUUGAAAGAUGGCUUCGGCUAUCACUUUUGGAUGGUCCCGCGGCGUAUUAGCUAGAUGGUGGGGUAACGGCUCACCAUGGCAAUGAUACGUAGCCGACCUGAGAGGGUAAUCGGCCACAUUGGGACUGAGACACGGCCCAAACUCCUACGGGAGGCAGCAGUAGGGAAUCUUCCACAAUGGACGAAAGUCUGAUGGAGCAACGCCGCGUGAGUGAAGAAGGGUUUCGGCUCGUAAAACUCUGUUGUUAAAGAAGAACAUAUCUGAGAGUAACUGUUCAGGUAUUGACGGUAUUUAACCAGAAAGCCACGGCUAACUACGUGCCAGCAGCCGCGGUAAUACGUAGGUGGCAAGCGUUGUCCGGAUUUAUUGGGCGUAAAGCGAGCGCAGGCGGUUUUUUAAGUCUGAUGUGAAAGCCUUCGGCUCAACCGAAGAAGUGCAUCGGAAACUGGGAAACUUGAGUGCAGAAGAGGACAGUGGAACUCCAUGUGUAGCGGUGAAAUGCGUAGAUAUAUGGAAGAACACCAGUGGCGAAGGCGGCUGUCUGGUCUGUAACUGACGCUGAGGCUCGAAAGUAUGGGUAGCAAACAGGAUUAGAUACCCUGGUAGUCCAUACCGUAAACGAUGAAUGCUAAGUGUUGGAGGGUUUCCGCCCUUCAGUGCUGCAGCUAACGCAUUAAGCAUUCCGCCUGGGGAGUACGGCCGCAAGGCUGAAACUCAAAGGAAUUGACGGGGGCCCGCACAAGCGGUGGAGCAUGUGGUUUAAUUCGAAGCUACGCGAAGAACCUUACCAGGUCUUGACAUACUAUGCAAAUCUAAGAGAUUAGACGUUCCCUUCGGGGACAUGGAUACAGGUGGUGCAUGGUUGUCGUCAGCUCGUGUCGUGAGAUGUUGGGUUAAGUCCCGCAACGAGCGCAACCCUUAUUAUCAGUUGCCAGCAUUAAGUUGGGCACUCUGGUGAGACUGCCGGUGACAAACCGGAGGAAGGUGGGGAUGACGUCAAAUCAUCAUGCCCCUUAUGACCUGGGCUACACACGUGCUACAAUGGAUGGUACAACGAGUUGCGAACUCGCGAGAGUAAGCUAAUCUCUUAAAGCCAUUCUCAGUUCGGAUUGUAGGCUGCAACUCGCCUACAUGAAGUCGGAAUCGCUAGUAAUCGCGGAUCAGCAUGCCGCGGUGAAUACGUUCCCGGGCCUUGUACACACCGCCCGUCACACCAUGAGAGUUUGUAACACCCAAAGUCGGUGGGGUAACCUUUUAGGAACCAGCCGUCCAA
rnacentral:rRNA from 1 species